GUCGAGACCCUAAUUCAGACUGAGAGUCAGCGGAGAAGGAAACUAGAGGGUUCCAAGAUGUUAGUUCUCAUUGUAGGGAAGAGCUGCAGAUGCUGGUUUAAAUCGAAGGUAGACACAAAAUGCUGGAGUAGCUCAGCGGGACUGGCAGCAUCUCUGGAGAGAAGAAAUGGGUGGCGUUUCGUGUCGAGACCCUUCUUCAGACUCAUGUUCAUUCUCAUGUUGUGCAUCAUCCAAUGUAAAAUCCUACCAGUUUAUGCACCUCUGGGAUGGGAUUAUGAUGCCGAUCAUUCCCACUCUAAGUUUCAAUUCAUAGCUUCCCAGAUGGAUCCAACUACGCAGUGUUUAUUUUAUCAAUAAAAAUGUUGCCAUGGUCACAUGUUGAAAAUA